rnacentral:rRNA from 1 species
GGACGAACGCUGGCGGCGUGCUUAACCCAUUCAAGUCGAACGGAAAGGCCCUGCUUUUGUGGGGUGCUCGAGUGGCGAACGGGUGAGUAACACGUGAGUAACCUGCCCUUGACUUUGGGAUAACUUCAGGAAACUGGGGCUAAUACCGGAUAGGAGCUCCUGCUGCAUGGUGGGGGUUGGAAAGUUUCGGCGGUUGGGGAUGGACUCGCGGCUUAUCAGCUUGUUGGUGGGGUAGUGGCUUACCAAGGCUUUGACGGGUAGCCGGCCUGAGAGGGUGACCGGCCACAUUGGGACUGAGAUACGGCCCAGACUCCUACGGGAGGCAGCAGUGGGGAAUAUUGCACAAUGGGCGGAAGCCUGAUGCAGCAACGCCGCGUGCGGGAUGACGGCCUUCGGGUUGUAAACCGCUUUCGCCUGUGACGAAGCGUGAGUGACGGUAAUGGGUAAAGAAGCACCGGCUAACUACGUG